GUAAGUCGGGUCCGCUUGAUUCCCAGCUGUGAACUGCCUGCUUCUGUUUACCCUUGUGUGGCGUCUUGCGUCUGGCUUUGAUCCUGGAUUUCGGAACUGAUGCUACGUCCUCCCUUCUGAUCCUCCAGCCUAGGUUUAUUCCCCCUUGGUUUCUGACAACACAGCGCUGAGAAACAUCACUGGGUCCUCAGGGACGGAGUGGGUCCUUGGCUCUUUGUGCAAUCAGCUAUUGGGUAUAGACAAGCAGAUGCUAUCUGGCUCUGAGGCUCCAGUCUCCUCAGGUCCUCCAGGGGCUGACGACCCUUGGAAGGAGGAGCCAGAUGGAAUCAUCUCCCUGCUAUUGUCUCAGCUGUCAGCACACUAGCACAGGAACAGAUGACAGAAGCACAAGGAUAGGAUUUUAUCGGAAAAUUCACAUACCGAAAGCAUCGGGAGUGACUUUAUCAAAGGAAACAGAUAAAGGAUAAUCAUCCUUGUGAGUGAUCCUACCGAGAAUGUGGUGACUUAAUCCAUCAAGGGUUUCUGGAAUCCUGAAUUCCUAGGGCAGGUCAAUGUUACGGGCCUCAGAGGACAGAGGAAGAAAAAAUAUUG
rnacentral:lncRNA from 1 species